AUGAUGUAUCCUUGUACAGUAUCAGCCACUAUUCACACGGAUACCAUUUUCCUGCAUUAUAAGGAAAAUGUCACUCAUUUGGAUGGGAACUGACGGUGACUGUAACACAUGUUUAUGUCUCAUUAAGACAGCUGUUCUGUUAAAGAUUUGAGGGAGUUGGCUCUGAUCUGUUGGCACCAAGGAGCAAGGAUACUGCGAUGCCUGUGCAGUGCGUAAACCGCCUGCAUAUUAUUAACUGCAGGGGGGAAACUCUGCGGUCAGCCCACCUAGUAGCAUCAGAAGGAUGGAAGGAAGGAAGGAAACACACAAAAGGGAGAUGGUCUGUUUGUCUGUGUGCAGUUCUGAAGAAACGGUACAUUCUACAGAGUUGCUGAACUCAUAGUCGGAGUUCUGAAGAAAUGGUUGUGACCUUACCACCUUCACAGAUGGCACACAAAGCAGAACUUCCUCUACAGAUCUGGAGGAUAUGGGAAGGUAUGAGAAGAGGCACAGCUUGAGUGUUGUUGGACUCAGGUCAUCAGUACCCUGAAGAGUUCAUAACCAGCAUCUUGAAAUAGGCCAGGAAGCAAAGCACGGCCCAUUUAAUAUGUUUAUUAAUAUUUAAUAAGAGGAGGACGCAAGAGAGCUUUUUCUUUUUUCUUUUUCCGUUUGACAGCAAUGGAAGAACAGCAUGACAAGUUGCCAAGCCUUGCCUUUGUGAGUGACCACCUUCAUCACCUCAUCCCCCCCCCCCCGCCACACCCCAGACCACUUAAGAGGCAGGGGAUUUUAAAGCAGAAAUCAGUGCUUUAGUUUACAGCUACUGUGUUUUCAGUACUGUGUUAUCCUGGCAUUCCAAGAUCUGGAUCCAGCAGAGGACUGAGCCUGUUGAUCCCCAACUAAGCACGGUCCAAAGGAGGGGGCUGCAAGAGACCCCUCCGACCAGGAGCCUUUGGGUCAUGGAAUGAAAUCUGACACACAGACACCCAAAAGCUUCCCUGCUGCUUGCUAGCAGCUCACUUGUGACCUUUUGGUGCCCCAUGCCCUGCAACUGACCACACUCAGCCUUCCCUAGCAUCGUCGUCCAGUCUCGCCCGCAUUUUGGCAAGAUCUGGGACUGAUCCCUGGCCGCCCCAAUUGCUUCUGCACAAAAAGCCCAACAUCAGAGAGGUGGUGGCAACGCUUCAAUCACAAGCAGAAAGCAGCGACGACACAUUUGCUGGAAUGGCGGGGGUGGGUGGGGCUGUGCUCCUGGUUUCCUCAGAGAGACAGAGGAAGCCACGAAGGUGGAGCGCAAGCAGAGGGGAAGAAAAGGGAGCCAAACAAAAUGCAGACACAGAAAGAGAGAGAGGAAAGGCUGAUCUUACCAGGCGGCAAGGGGGCUGAUGGAAGAACAAAGCAGCAAAUGGAAAGACAAACAAAGGGAAUGUUACAUUCUGGGGGUACUUUCCUAACCAGGUUUGUGCUGGAAAAAGGUUAGAGAUGCCUGGCUACAAGCUGGCAAAACAAAAGACAAAAAGAAACCCAUCCAUCCAUCUGUUGCAGCGCUGACCACUCUCAAUUCAGCCAUCCCUAGAAAGAAGCAACUGCACUAGUCCGGGACGGAGAAAGAGAGAGAAUCCAGUCCCCAAACCUGUCGUCCCCCUCAGCUGGUUAGCCGGCUGCUGGCAAGAGGAUGAGUUAAGCCCAGAAUACUUUCUUGUUGGCACUGUUAAGUAAAAAGAAUGCACUGGACCUCACGACUCUUGUUCUAGUGCAGCUUAACAGGCUUCGAGACUCCAGAAGCCAAGCAGCAUGAUCCAAUGCCUUUGUAAUGGGACUAGCAGAAUGCAUUACCUCAGGUUAUUUUAGAAGCAUGCACAUUGAAGCUCGCUGUGGUCUCCAUUCUGCAUAUCUAAAUCCUACAUAAAAAGCAUAGGAAGACCCACAUCUUGCAGUUUCUUGCAGUUUGUGCUUGCAUUUCACUCAGGAAUUUCCCCCUCACAACAUACCCAACACAGCUAUCAAAAUCCCCUUCAUAGAAUUUUGGGGGGGAAACGCUGAAUUACUGGCAUGGCCACUCCACACAUCAAAGGAGAAGCGGAGGGGCAUAAUAGAAGCCUCAGGGUUUUUCUCUCCAAAAGCCGCUGAAACUAGAGGGUUUUUUGACAUACUUCAGGCUAAGCGAGAAUGCACAGCCUUGAUUCGGGGGGGGGGGCACAGAAUCCUGUCUGUACUGGUCCCUGAUAGCCCGCAGAGACUUUGGGGUAAAUGCAGCUAAUAUGUGGACUGGCACACUCCAUUCCAGAGGAGAUUCACACUAAAAGCCCUGUGUGUAAAGCCUCCAGGGGACUGCCUUUUUCCUGGAACUCUGAGGAUUUAGGAUGCAGCAGCCCAAUAGCUCAUAGGAACAGUUUGACUAAAUUGUUAAUCUAAAAGAUGAGUUAAUAUGUAAAAUUAAUUGCAGAAUCAAAGCAUUUCCUCUCCGAUCGUCAGUUCCUGGAGGAAGCAACAGCAAUAGGAGGGUUGGUAGCAUCCUAUGGGCUUCCUUGAAGCAUCUGCUUGCUCACUGUAGGAAACAGGAUUUUUUUCCCCUUUACAUUUUAUAUCCUGCUCUUCCUGCAAAGAGCCCAGAGCGGUGUGCGACAUACUUAAGUUUCUCCUCACAACAACCCUGUGAAGUAGGUUAGGCUGAGAGAGAAGUGACUGGCCCAGCGUCACCCAGCAAGUCUCAUGGCUGAAUGGGGAUUUGAACUCAGGUCUCCCUGGUCCAAGUCCAGAACUUUAACCACUACACCACCCUGGUUCUUGGAAGAGAUGGACUCUUAGUCUGAUCCAACUAGGGUUGCCAACGAGGGACUUUUGUAGAGGACAUGCAACUAUUUGGGGGACCAAAUGACUUUUUUGUAUUAGGAGGAAUAGAGAGUAUUUGGGGCCCAAACAACUUCUUUUGCAUGUGUGGUGUGGUGCCCGAAGUUCUGGGGAGCAGCUGGAAGGUUUUGUUUGCUCAGCACACUUUGCUCUCACGAGCAGCUCCUCUUCCUCUGUCUCUUUCCCCUUCCUCCUGACCAUCCAUCCAAUCGGGAAGCCAGAGGGGAGGUUCGGCUUCAGCGGUGGGUUUCAGAGCCACGUGAUGCAGGAGCACGGAUGGGUGGGUGCAGCAGGUGCAGCUGGCUUCCUUCAUGUGGUGGCAGUGGUGGCAGCGGCAGUGAGAAGUCAGCAGUUAGCUAACAAAUCUCUUCUAUUUAUUCUCAAAUUAUCCAGUUUUUAUCAAAAUAUGAAUAUUUAUUUAUUUACUUACUUACUUAAAUUUAUAUACUACCUGAUAUGUGUGUCUCUAGGCGGUGUACAUAAUUUAAAACAACAAAUAUAAAACAGAGUGAAAACAAUUAAAAUAAUAAUUAUUUUAUACAUAUAAAUAUGCAGAUUUUAUGCAAAGUGGAGAUGUUUUUGAGACUUGUUUGGUUCAAAGCAUCCUCUAUUUCCACUUUUUCGGGGAUGGAUAUCCAGAGGUGCUCUUAUCUCGGGCCUUCCAGGCCAAAGUCCAGGGCCUCCACACCCCCUGGGGGUCCCCAAAUCCUCUUUCGUCUGUCCCGGGUGGUGUGGUCGCCGUGA